CUCUAGAGGGAAGCACUUUCUC
rnacentral:miRNA from 3 species